CUGGGAAUACCUUGCCCAGGGCAGGAGAGUCUGGCUGCUGUGCAAUAACUGGGACGCCAUCUGCCUCCUCGGCGUGGGGCUGCUUGCCCUCAGCCUCUGGAGAAGUGUGAAGAGAUACAGGAGACAGGGAACGGUCCGGUGGGCCUCAGCUUCCGUGGGGACAGACCACCGGGGAAAGGACGCUCUGGAUGAUUGUGCCUUGCUCUGCCGGAUGGAGGCCAAUGCUGCUGUCGUGGUGAGGUGCCUGAAGCGCCUCUACCAGCUCCGCCUGCAAGAGCUUGGGCUCCCACUGCCGAGGAAGAAGGCACAAAACAAGCACAAGAAAAGAACAGUCCCCUUGCAUACCCUCCGCAAAUUCAUCUAGAGCGUGCACGCCGUGUACCGGUGACAGGAAAGGCAGUGCGGCGAAUUGACAGCGAGCCGGUGAGGCAGGACACACCUCAGCCCUCCGAAGGCUCCUGCCGUGAAGGCACCUCCCCUGACAACUGGAUGCCAACAUCGCCCUGAACACCUCCUCCCUGCACGGGCACCACCGACAAUGCCAGCUGUCCCCUGGUGGGCUGCCCGUGCCCUGCCAGCGCAACAGCCAGCGAGGACUCGGCAUUCAUCUCGUGAGGACCUCCGAGGAGAAGUCCCCUUUUCCAUCCUCCCAGAGGCACCGCUGGGACUGCUGGCAUCCCAAAGGACAUGGCUCUGCUUUGUUGCUCCACAGAGGACAGCAGGAGCAUGCGUGUGCAGCAGAGCUGGCUGGGGGACUCCUGAAAAUUUCUGUUGGUAGCAGACCGCUUCUCCCAGCUGAAUAAAGAUCAUCCGUACAGGAACUUGUGUCCUUUUGGUACCAAGGGGCUUGGGGCAGCAGCCACACGGGAGGCAGUGGGGCAGGUGAGGGCUGCUGCGUGUGGGUUUUAGAGAACACACCUGCAGAGGAAUGGGGGAGCUGGGCUGGGAGAGAAGAGCUGCGAGGUGCCGCCCAGGCGCCCAUGCCCCAGGAGGAGAGACCACAUCCUGGCAGGGUGCCCGUGUCCCACUGAGGUUUC